GGGUUGUGAGGUUAAGCGACUAAGCGUACACGGUGGAUGCCCUGGCAGUCAGAGGCGAUGAAGGACGUGCUAAUCUGCGAUAAGCGCCGGUAAGGUGAUAUGAACCGUUAUAACCGGCGAUUUCCGAAUGGGGAAACCCAGUGUGACUCGUCACACUAUCAUUAACUGAAUCCAUAGGUUAAUGAGGCGAACCGGGGGAACUGAAAC
rnacentral:rRNA from 1 species